UACAGAGGGUGCUAGCGUUGUUCGGAAUCAUUGGGCGUAAAGCGCGUGUAGGCGGCUUUGCAAGUCGGGUGUGAAAGCCCUCAGCUCAACUGAGGAAGUGCGCCCGAAACUGCAGAGCUUGAGUGCCGGAGAGGGUGGCGGAAUUCCCCAAGUAGAGGUGAAAUUCGUAGAUAUGGGGAGGAACACCGGUGGCGAAGGCGGCCACCUGGACGGUAACUGACGCUGAGACGCGAAAGCGUGGGGAGCAAACAGG
rnacentral:rRNA from 1 species